rnacentral:rRNA from 1 species
UACGUAGGGGGCAAGCGUUGUCCGGAUUUAUUGGGCGUAAAGAGCGUGUAGGCGGCUUUGCAAGUCCGUUGCGAAAACUGGAGGCUCAACUUCCAGCCGUCGACGGAAACCGUGUGGCUAGAGUCCGGAAGAGGAGAGUGGAAUUCCUGGUGUAGCGGUGAAAUGCGCAGAUAUCAGGAAGAACACCAAUGGCGAAGGCAGCUCUCUGGGACGGUACUGACGCUGAGACGCGAAAGCGUGGGGAGCGAACAGG